rnacentral:rRNA from 1 species
AAAUUGAAGAGUUUGAUCAUGGCUCAGAUUGAACGCUGGCGGCAGGCCUAACACAUGCAAGUCGAACGGUAACAGGAAGCAGCUUGCUGCUUUGCUGACGAGUGGCGGACGGGUGAGUAAUGUCUGGGAAACUGCCUGAUGGAGGGGGAUAACUACUGGAAACGGUGGCUAAUACCGCAUAACGUCGCAAGACCAAAGAGGGGGACCUUCGGGCCUCUUGCCAUCAGAUGUGCCCAGAUGGGAUUAGCUUGUUGGUGAGGUAACGGCUCACCAAGGCGACGAUCCCUAGCUGGUCUGAGAGGAUGACCAGCCACACUGGAACUGAGACACGGUCCAGACUCCUACGGGAGGCAGCAGUGGGGAAUAUUGCACAAUGGGCGCAAGCCUGAUGCAGCCAUGCCGCGUGUAUGAAGAAGGCCUUCGGGUUGUAAAGUACUUUCAGCGGGGAGGAAGGUGUUGUGGUUAAUAACCACAGCAAUUGACGUUACCCGCAGAAGAAGCACCGGCUAACUCCGUGCCAGCAGCCGCGGUAAUACGGAGGGUGCAAGCGUUAAUCGGAAUUACUGGGCGUAAAGCGCACGCAGGCGGUCUGUCAAGUCGGAUGUGAAAUCCCCGGGCUCAACCUGGGAACUGCAUUCGAAACUGGCAGGCUUGAGUCUUGUAGAGGGGGGUAGAAUUCCAGGUGUAGCGGUGAAAUGCGUAGAGAUCUGGAGGAAUACCGGUGGCGAAGGCGGCCCCCUGGACAAAGACUGACGCUCAGGUGCGAAAGCGUGGGGAGCAAACAGGAUUAGAUACCCUGGUAGUCCACGCCGUAAACGAUGUCUACUUGGAGGUUGUGCCCUUGAGGCGUGGCUUCCGGAGCUAACGCGUUAAGUAGACCGCCUGGGGAGUACGGCCGCAAGGUUAAAACUCAAAUGAAUUGACGGGGGCCCGCACAAGCGGUGGAGCAUGUGGUUUAAUUCGAUGCAACGCGAAGAACCUUACCUGGUCUUGACAUCCACGGAAGUUUUCAGAGAUGAGAAUGUGCCUUCGGGAACCGUGAGACAGGUGCUGCAUGGCUGUCGUCAGCUCGUGUUGUGAAAUGUUGGGUUAAGUCCCGCAACGAGCGCAACCCUUAUCCUUUGUUGCCAGCGAUUAGGUCGGGAACUCAAAGGAGACUGCCAGUGAUAAACUGGAGGAAGGUGGGGAUGACGUCAAGUCAUCAUGGCCCUUACGACCAGGGCUACACACGUGCUACAAUGGCGCAUACAAAGAGAAGCGACCUCGCGAGAGCAAGCGGACCUCAUAAAGUGCGUCGUAGUCCGGAUUGGAGUCUGCAACUCGACUCCAUGAAGUCGGAAUCGCUAGUAAUCGUGGAUCAGAAUGCCACGGUGAAUACGUUCCCGGGCCUUGUACACACCGCCCGUCACACCAUGGGAGUGGGUUGCAAAAGAAGUAGGUAGCUUAACCUUCGGGAGGGCGCUUACCACUUUGUGAUUCAUGACUGGGGUGAAGUCGUAACAAGGUAACCGUAGGGGAACCUGCGGUUGGAUCACCUCCUUACCUUAAAG